CGCAGCAGGCGCGAAAACUUUACAAUGCGGGCAACCGUGAUAAGGGAACCUCGAGUGCCUGUAAAUGCAGGCUGUUUAGGUGUUUAAAACGCACCUGGAGAAAGGGCCGGGCAAGACCGGUGCCAGCCGCCGCGGUAAUACCGGCGGCUCGAGUGGUGGCCACUUUUAUUGGGCUUAAAGCGUUCGUAGCUGGGUUGUUAAGUCUCUUGGGAAAUCUGGCGGCUUAACCGUCAGGCGUCUAAGGGAUACUGGCAAUCUUGGAACCGGGAGAGGUGAGGGGUACUUCGGGGGUAGGAGUGAAAUCCUGUAAUCCUCGAGGGACCACCUGUGGCGAAGGCGCCUCACCAGAACGGCUUCGACAGUGAGGGACGAAAGCUGGGGGAGCAAACCGGAUUAGAUACCCGGGUAGUCCCAGCCGUAAACUAUGCGCGUUAGGUGUAUCGGUGACCACGAGUUGCCGAGGUGCCGCAGGGAAGCCGUGAAGCGAGCCACCUGGGAAGUACGGCCGCAAGGCUGAAACUUAAAGGAAUUGGCGGGGGAGCACAACAACGGGUGGAGCCUGCGGUUUAAUUGGACUCAACGCCGGACAACUCACCGGGGACG
rnacentral:rRNA from 1 species